rnacentral:rRNA from 1 species
UGCCUCAGUAACGGCGAGUGAAGCGGCAACAGCUCAAAUUUGAAAUCUGGCCGCAAGGUCCGAGUUGUAAUUUGCAGAGGAUGCUUUUGGCGAGGUGCCUUCCGAGUUCCCUGGAACGGGACGCCAUAGAGGGUGAGAGCCCCGUACGGUAGGACCACCGAGCCUUUGUAAAGCUCCUUCGACGAGUCGAGUAGUUUGGGAAUGCUGCUCUAAAUGGGAGGUGUACGUCUUCUAAAGCUAAAUACCGGCCAGAGACCGAUAGCGCACAAGUAGAGUGAUCGAAAGAUGAAAAGCACUUUGAAAAGAGGGUUAAAAAGUACGUGAAAUUGUUGAAAGGGAAGCAUUCAUGACCAGACUUGGGCUUGGUUGAACAUCCGGCGUUCUCGCCGGUGCACUCUGCCAGUCCAGGCCAGCAUCAGUUUGCCCCGGGGGACAAAGGCGGUGGGAAUGUGGCUCUCUCCGGGGAGUGUUAUAGCCCGCCGUGUAAUGCCCUGGGGCGGACUGAGGAACGCGCUUCGGCUCGGAUGCUGGCGUAAUGGUCAUCAAUGACCCGUCUUGAAACACGGACCAAGGAGUCGUCUUCGUAUGCGAGUGUUCGGGUGUCAAACCCCUACGCGAAAUGAAAGUGAACGUAGGUGAGAGCUUCGGCGCAUCACCGACCGAUCCUGAUGUUCUCGGACGGAUUUGAGUAAGAGCAUACGGGGCCGGACCCGAAAGAAGGUGAACUAUGCCUGUAUAG